GCCAGUGUGGUGCAGUGGUUUGCACAUUGGACUGUGACUUUUGAGACCAGGGUUCAAAUCCCAGCUUAACCA